UACGGAGGGUGCGAGCGUUGUCCGGAAUUAUUGGGCGUAAAGGGCUCGUAGGCGGUUUGUCGCGUCGGGAGUGAAAAUCCAGGGCUUAACUCUGGACUGGCUUCCGAUACGGGCAGACUAGAGGUAUGCAGGGGAGAACGGAAUUCCUGGUGUAGCGGUGAAAUGCGCAGAUAUCAGGAGGAACACCAGUGGCGAAGGCGACUUCCUGGCCUGUUCUUGACGCUGAGGCGCGAAAGCUAGGGUAGCAAACGGG
rnacentral:rRNA from 1 species